AAGAGUCGCUCGCCUAGCAGUCGAAGCAAAACGAGAAAGACGAGAAGGCAAAGGACGAAUGAGACCAGCCACCAGCUCGAUUCCUUUGCGAACCCACAGCAUUCGUCGUCGGAUUUCGUUCGUGCAAAGUUUGGAAGAGAUUGCCACUCAUCCAGAGUCUGUUGUAACGAUACCAAAGAAGCGAUAUCAAGCGUCGAAGAGAUACCAAGCGUCGUUAAAGAUGUUGUACAUUUCGGGAUUCUCGUCGUGCGUGUUCGAAAGUACGUGGGACGCCAGCCCGAAGACGCUCAAAUGCACAAAACAAAUUUGAAUGUGGC